GUUGCUACGUUAAUUAGACCUAGUGUGAAGCUGCUACUAGAGACGAACACCUGAGAGGAGGGCCCUGGUUCUCUGCUUUAUAUGCCUACACUUGCAACUGCUUAGUUUCAGGCUGUGAACUGGUUGUUCAAUUAAUUGACCCGAAGCACCUGCGCUUUCGUUUGUUGUUUAUUCAUUUUUUCUAGUGUGUUUAGGUACCAACUUGUGUAGAGUAGAUCAUAUUGCAUGCAUGUGGAUCUUCUUUGUGCCAAAAUAAAUAUUGGAAUGCAUUGAGAUGUAUCUGACUAUGUGAAACUGUGUUUGGUCUUCUAUAUAUGAUGUUUGUCAUGACAUAUCUUAUUAUCUUGUUUACCAUCCAGGAACAAUGGGAGCAAGCUCAUCCUCAUCACUAGCUACUCAACGACUGCCGCACCGCAUAGUCCAUUCAGUUCCCUGAGCAUCUAAACCUUUUAUUAUUGUAGCUCGUAUGCUUGAUGCAUGCAACCUCGUCUCUUUGUUGUUUUGCUAGAAUUGCAUAUCCUGAUGCAUGAUGAUGCAUGUAUCCCCAUCUCUUUACUAUUUUGCAUGACUCAUAAAUCCUGAUGCAUGAUGAUCAUGGUCUGGUUUGGUAGAUUUGUUAUGUUGGUGUUCAAAAUUGUACAUGCAUGGAUUCUGAUUGAACUUCUUCUUGCAGGACUUUUCAUUUCUAUGUUCAAUUUAGUUAGAGUUGCACAUAUGAGUAUACUAUAUACCCAAAACUCCUACCUAGUGAGAAUAUUUUAGACACUCAAUGUACACAUACUGGUUAGUGUUAAUCUUACUAUUUAUGUACAUGGAAUUUGUUGGCAAUUCUUGCUUUACAAGCUAUUGGAUCCAUCAUUGUCUACUGUUUGAUGUUGUUUACACCUUAUUCUUAUUUUGUGCACAGGUGAAGUACAAAGCCAAGUGCAAAGCUAUGAAGCUUAUCAACGCCAGCCACUCCUCCCAAAGCAGGAGGAAAAAGAUUGCCAGUUUGGUGAUAGAGAAUUAGAAUGGAUCAACUCUAUAGGACAGAGGUCAUCAUCGAGCCCACAACAGCGUCACAAGGGAUACUUUACCAGGUGAAGACCACCUUUAGUCAGGAUAGGACUAAAACCUUGUCCCCCUUUGAAUUGUCACGUUAUGGCCACCCGUUUCCCCCUCAUAUUUUGGGAAUGGAGGAUCAGGGCAUGACAAGAAGGGAGGAUGACAUCUUUGUAAGGGGAUCGACCCAUUCUCUCCCCAUCCCCCAUGUACCACAUUUCAAGCUCCUUCCUUUCCAAGAAAGAAACACACAAGUAGGAGUAGGGUUUUACGCUCCAGCAGCCCGAACCUGGGUGUCUCCAUCAUCUACAGUGAGGAGAAUAGCACUCAUUAUCCAUCUUGAUGUGUCUUUCGUCGUGUUGCAGGUCGCAAGCCAAGCCCCCCAGUGUUUGAAUCUUGUUCCAUGAGGAGUUCUUGGGUGCAGAUCCGGGAGUCCGACACUGGCGUAGUCCAUCUCGAGACCGAAGAUGGCACCUCGAUGCAUAAUUCAUGGAAUAUGGAACGUUUUCGCAAGUUCUACUCAUGAGGCACAGUUGUCGGGACCUCCCCCGGCAACCCCCUUUGUACGUGUCAGCCAAGAAGGCUUGUAAUCCUUUGUACAAAGCCAGAGAAAGACUCUUUGCAUAGGCAGUAAAGCUAAGUGUUCUACAACCCUUUGUCAAAGUACAUAUUUAUUUUAUGUAUAUAUGCAUGAAAUGUUGCGGUCACUAUAGC
rnacentral:lncRNA from 1 species